UCUUGCCUACCUAAAUUUUCUUAGGGGGCUUCUAGACCAAGUGCUUUUCAGAGACUGGGGACAUUCUCAGCAUACUCCUGACUCGCAGUACUUCUACUUGCUCUCAUAAAGAAACUGCAGAAUACCACUUUAGGAGAAGCUAGAUGAAAGAAUAAAAUUCCCUGCAACUGAGAAAAUUUAUACCAACAAAACAGUUGAUAUAUUUGGGUCCAAAUUAAGAAAAGUC